rnacentral:rRNA from 1 species
CGCGUGGUGACCACCUGACCCCAUGCCGAACUCAGAAGUGAAACGCCGUAGCGCCGAUGGUAGUGUGGGGUCUCCCCAUGCGAGAGUAGGGAACUGCCAGGC